rnacentral:rRNA from 1 species
UACGGAGGGUGCAAGCGUUAUCCGGAUUCACUGGGUUUAAAGGGUGCGUAGGCGGGCAGGUAAGUCAGUGGUGAAAUCUUUGGGCUUAACCCGAAAACUGCCAUUGAUACUAUCUGUCUUGAAUAUUGUGGAGGUGAGCGGAAUAUGUCAUGUAGCGGUGAAAUGCUUAGAGAUGACAUAGAACACCAAUUGCGAAGGCAGCCCACUACACAAAUAUUGACGCUGAUGCACGAAAGCGUGGGGAUCAAACAG